rnacentral:lncRNA from 1 species
AUAGUGUAUAAUGAAUAUCUUGAAUUGAAUACAAUGUAAAAAGUCGAAAUAAAUAGAAUAAUAUACACCAUAUUUCUUGGUUACUUCACUGUAUUUAUAAUCACAGUCGCGUGAAUACAUGUAAAUAACAUAGUAAUAGCAAAAUUUAUGUAGAAUUAAUUUUGUUGAGUUAAAUUAGGAGUGAUACAUGCUAAUCGAUCCUCUUCCGUUAUUAAACAUCUGAAUUCCCCUAUUUCUUAGGCGAUGCGAAUACAGUCCCACAACUGGACUUCCCUAUUUUUUAGGAGAAUUUCGCUAAAGUAUUCAUGAAUAUAGUAGCACAAAUAAUUAAAUAGUAGUUAUAGGAUAUAUGGUAUUUAUAAGAAGUUAAUAGCUGCUAAUAAUAGUAGUUUCUGAAAAUUCUUCAUAAAUCUAUUGUCCUGUCUUCUCAAAAUAGUCGGUGUAUCUCACAAAAACAGCUC